CCUACGGGUGGCAGCAGUGAGGACUAUUGGUCAAUGGACGCAAGUCUGAACCAGCCAUGCCGCGUGCAGGACGACGGCUCUAUGAGUUGUAAACUGCUUUUGUACGAGGGUAAACGCAGAUACGCGUAUCUGUCUGAAAGUAUCGUACGACUAAGGAUCGGCUAACUCCGUGCCAGCAGCCGCGGUAAUACGGAGGGUUCAAGCGUUAUCCGGAUUUAUUGGGUUUAAAGGGUGCGUAGGCGGUCGGAUAAGUUAGAGGUGAAAGCCCGAGGCUCAACCUCGGAAUUGCCUCGGAUACUGGUCGGCUAGAGUGUAGUUGCGGUAGGCGGAAUGUAUGGUGUAGCGGUGAAAUGCUUAGAGAUCAUACAGAACACCGAUUGCGAAGGCAGCUUACCAAGCUACUACUGACGCUGAGGCACGAAAGCGUGGGGAGCAAACAGGAUUAGAUACCCUGGUAGUC
rnacentral:rRNA from 1 species